GGCCGCGCCGGUGGCCUAGUGGUUAGAGCGUCCGCUUUGGAUGCAUGAGAAGACGGGUUCGAACCUUGGCCGAGUCA